rnacentral:misc_RNA from 1 species
GUUCUCAUGAAAUCCUGAAUUUCACAAUAAUUUUAUUGGAUACCUAGCAUAAAAAGCUAGAAGCAGAAAUUGAUUAAUAUCAUAAAAAUAUGAUGACCCGUAUCAUCAUUGCCUUGCGUCUUGUUGCAGAAAAAGUCAUGCAGCAGAAGAUGAGAACGAUGAGCAAAGGGGAAAAACCAUUGAUCAUGUCCUCAUUCCCCAUCAGUGCCAAAACAUAUUUGACCAAAAAUUGUUAAUACAAAUGAAAUAAAAGAGAUGUUUUCGACAGGUUUUCCAAGUUCAGUCAAAUAAGCAGGCUCCAUCUUAUAACUAUCAAACACAUACCUG